CCCCACGCAUUGCUUUUCAGUUUUGUUUCCUUUUGUUUUCUGCCCUAGCAUUCACCCUUUCUCUAACUGCGUCGCCUCUCGCUUUCUCUCCAAUGUCUCCAUCUCUCUUUCCAAUCUUUCCCCACCUGUUAAUCGCCACUGCCCAUUGUCACCGCUUGUCAUCGCCACAAGCAAAAGCCUAAUUCAAUUUCAAAAUGAUCAAUCUGAAGCCGCCAAAAUGAUCGAGCGUCCUUGGCAUCGUCAUUGCCGCCUAUGAUAUGUCAGGUUGUUUAUUUUGUGGGAAAAUGUUUGGUGGCCACAAAUUUUGUGGUUCAAAUAACCCGAAAUUGUCAAAACGAUGUCGUUUUGCACUCAAAACGACGUCGUUUUGAGUGUUUUAAGCCAUUUGAGCCACAGAAUUUGUGACCUCCUAACAUUGCUGUUUGUGAUGUCACUACCUCUCUAGUUGUUAAUCUCGGCUUUGGCUUUUGACUUUGUUCUGUGGAAGCAUAUUGUUGUACCAUCAUCAUAAACUAGUGGUAAAAUUAUCAUUCUUGUCACCAUCAUCAGCUUAUAGCUUCACAAAACCUAACGAAGUGUUUGGGUUUUGAUGUAUAUAUUUGUACCUGCAAUGUAUGUAUUUAUUCAAGUAUCUUAAAUUGUUUGUUUUGGAAUUAUGGGUUAUAUUGUACUUCUCUUUGUUUGGGUAUCUAACAAGGUCUAGGAAUAUCCACAGUGGCUGCUCCUUUAUUUUGA